CUAUUUUAACUCAGCCUGAGAACAUUGAGUGGUGAGGGUAAGGGCCAGAGGCACAGUUUGUUCUUCAGAGCACUUGUUGCUAGACAUUCCCAGAAGGUAUUAUUGCUUAAAUACAGCUUGUGUUUUCUUUACCCAGAUUCCUUUAGCAAGGAGGAUAUGACAGGUUGUGGUAUCGGACUGCAGUGAAGUUCCACCGGUGCUAUUCUACCCUCCAUGAGUGAGCACUGCUGGGCUGUGAGCUGGCAAGCUCAUGCCCUUUUUUUGGAGGCUUGAGCCAACUGCUUUUGAUCUGGGAGCUUACAGAAUGGAUGAGAUAUUCACAGGAAGACUUUUCUGUGAUUAUAGAAGAGCAGAUUUAAUCUGGAAGUCAUUGAGAGAAACCAAUAAAGAACUUCCUUGAUGUGAUUUUUGGAGUUACUUGCUGGAAUUGAAUUGAAUGGUUUUGGGUAUUGAACAUAAAGGUACUUGAAAGCUUAAAGAAGCUUAAAUGUAGAUGAUAAUGAAAAUGUUACUGGUAUUUAUAGGUUGGUUGAUAAUGUCAACAUAUUAAAGUGAUAUUAAAUAUCUCCUUGAUUUCAUGGACAGUGUCUUACUUUAUAUAGUUUAUUGUAAUAACAUGAUCCUUGAUAUACACUGAUGAUAACUUUAGCUUUAUAAAUUUUUUUUAAUAAUCCAGUUGCCCUGAAAUGCCGUAUCAAAAGUAUGUUUAUUACAAAACAAGUACAGUUACUCUCUGCCAGUGUUAUCUCUAUGAAAGCAACCUAAGCUAAGAAAGCACAUUUGGAAAAAAAACGUGCCAAGCAGAGGUGGUUGGUUUUUUUUUUCUUUUGUUAGACUUUCUGGGAACAUUCAUUAGUAGUUGGAGAUGUGGUCUUUCAACUAA
rnacentral:lncRNA from 1 species